rnacentral:rRNA from 1 species
UACGAAGGGGGCGAGCGUUGUUCGGAAUCACUGGGCGUAAAGGGCGCGUAGGCGGCCCUCCUAGUCGCGUGUGAAAGCCCCGGGCUCAACCUGGGAACGGCGCGCGAAACGGGGGGGCUGGAGUUCGGGAGAGGAGCGUGGAAUUCCCAGUGUAGAGGUGAAAUGCGCAGAUAUCAGGAGGAACACCGAUUGCGAAGGCAGCUCGCUGGAACGUUACUGACGCUG